GAUGAACGCUGGCGGCGUGCCUAAUACAUGCAAGUCGAGCGAACGGACGAGAAGCUUGCUCCUAUGAUGUUAUCGGCGGACGGGAGCGUAACAUGUGGAUAACCUAACUAUACGAAUGGGAUAACUUCGGGAAACCGGAGCUUCUACCGGAUGAUAUUUUGAACUGCAAGGUUCAAACGUGAAAGUCGGUCUUGCUGACACUAAUAGAUGGAUCAGCGCUGCAUUAGCUGGUUGGUAAGGUAACGGCUUACCAAGGCUACGAUGCAUACCCGACCUGAGAGGGUGGUCGGCCACACGGGAACUGAGGCUCGGUCCAGACUCCGACAGUGGGCAGCAGUAGGGAAUCUUCCGCGAAGGAGGAAAGCGUGACGGAGCAACGCCGCGUGAGGGAUGAUGGUGUUAGGAUGGGAAAACGCUGUUGUUAGUGGAGAACAUAUGUGUAAGUAACUGUGCACAUCAUGACGGUACCUGAACAGAAAGCCACGGCUAACUACGUG
rnacentral:rRNA from 1 species